CGAAGAGCAGCACUGCAGCAGCGGGGCCACGAAGAGCACGCUGCGACUCUCUCCUGAGCCUUCGCCCUAACCCCAGGUCUCCCCAACCCCGGCGGGAAGAAGGGCGUUCCCAGACGGACUUCGAGCUGGGAGCCGCUGCAGCCUUUAUCCAGCAGGGGAGUGAACCUGAUGGGUGGAUUUCUAAAGAGGCAUUGCUGAACGCUCAGGACCGUAAUUUGGUUUUAAGAAUUGCUUUUGGCUCUUGAUUUACGACGAGGUUCUUUUCUGUGUAUUUCUUUUGGCUGAAGACUGAAUAGAGGUCUCCCUGUGAGGAUGGCAUUUGACUCUACGUUUGAAGACAGGACACACAGGUAAGGGGGGAACAAAGAAGAAAGAAAAGAGGAAGGGCUGGGUGUGUGGCUCAGUACAGGUACAAGGUCCUGGGUUCCAUCCCCAGCACCACCACCACUACCACCACCACCACCACCACCAACAACAACAACAAAAACAAGAAAAAGUAAAAGAAAGGAAGAAGGGGAACUAAAACGGAAGUAGUGUGUUGAGAGAGUUAGCCAUCAUCUGUUUCUCUAUUGCCUCUAAUGGCC
rnacentral:lncRNA from 1 species